AUGAUCAGAUUUGUCUACGAACUUAGUUUGUCCUCAAUCAUCUUCAUUGUAACUUUUGUUUUUGUUAAACAUUUGAUUUGGCAUCAUUUUUUGUCUAUGACCUCAGUUUUGUUAUCUUCAUCAUUCUAUCUACACAACUUGCUCAUUUUUAUUUCAUCAUGCUUUUUGGUUAGUUUCAAAAGUGAUACUGCCGCAUACAAGUCAGUAACAGAUGGUCAUAUCGCUUUUCAACAAGGAUGGUUGAGAGGAAUUCCCGGAGGAGAACUACCAAGCAUUGAGAGAGCGGUGCUAAUCACCAUCAGGAACAGUGCACUGGACGAACUGAAUACGAUGGACGAUGGUUGUCUUCAACGAGGUCUAAUUAUGAGAUUGUCAGGAAUAAGACUGUUUUAA
rnacentral:rRNA from 1 species